rnacentral:rRNA from 1 species
GUGGGGAAUAUUGGACAAUGGGCGAAAGCCUGAUCCAGCCAUGCCGCGUGUGUGAAGAAGGCCUUCGGGUUGUAAAGCACUUUAAGCGAGGAGGAAGGUUCGUCACCUAAUACGUGACGGAAUUGACGUUACUCGCAGAAUAAGCACCGGCUAACUCUGUGCCAGCAGCCGCGGUAAUACAGAGGGUGCAAGCGUUAAUCGGAAUUACUGGGCGUAAAGCGCGCGUAGGCGGUUGUGUAAGUUGGAUGUGAAAUCCCCGGGCUUAACCUGGGCACUGCAUUCAAAACUGCACGGCUAGAGUAUUGGAGAGGAAGGUAGAAUUCCAGGUGUAGCGAUGAAAUGCGUAGAGAUCUGGAGGAAUACCGAUGGCGAAGGCAGCCAUCUGGCCUAAUACUGACACUGAGGUGCGAAAGCAUGGGGAGCAAACAGGAUUAGAAACCCGGGUAGUCC